rnacentral:rRNA from 1 species
UAAGGAAUAUUGGUCAAUGGAGGCAACUCUGAACCAGCCAUGCCGCGUGCAGGAAGACAGCCCUCUGGGUCGUAAACUGCUUUUAUUCGGGAAUAAACCUAUCUACGUGUAGAUAGCUGAAUGUACCGAAGGAAUAAGGAUCGGCUAACUCCGUGCCAGCAGCCGCGGUAAUACGGAGGAUCCAAGCGUUAUCCGGAUUUAUUGGGUUUAAAGGGUGCGUAGGCGGCUUAUUAAGUCAGGGGUGAAAGACGGUGGCUCAACCAUCGCAGUGCCUUUGAUACUGAUGAGCUUGAAUAUACUAGAGGUAGGCGGAAUGUGACAAGUAGCGGUGAAAUGCAUAGAUAUGUCACAGAACACCGAUUGCGAAGGCAGCUUACUAUGGUAU